AUCGGUAUGCUGAAAUUAGGUACCGGGUUCCACUUCGGAUGGAAUAGUUAACUGCUGCAGGUUCGAGUCUUGUUAUCCAUA
rnacentral:tRNA from 1 species